CACCGCGGCCAUACCAGUGAGCCCAAGUGGAUAGCCGACGGCGUAAAGCGUGGUUAGGUACCCAACACUACUAAAGUAAAAUCCCCUCAGAGCAGUUAUACGCCCCGACAAGGUGAGCCCCCACCACGAAAGUGACUUUAAACUUACCUGAGCCCACGAAAGCUGAGGAA
rnacentral:rRNA from 1 species